rnacentral:rRNA from 1 species
CGCGCAGGUGGCUUAUCAAGUCUGGUGUGAAAGCCCAGGGCUCAACCCUGGAACUGCAUUGGAAACUGGUAAGCUUGAGUCCGAGAGGGGCCUGUGGAAUUCCUGGUGUAGGGGUGAAAUCCGUAGAGAUCAGGAGGAACACCGGUAGCGAAGGCGACAGGCUGGAUCGGCACUGACACUGAGGCGCGAAAGUGUGGGGAGCGAACA